UACGUAGGGUGCGAGCGUUAAUCGGAUUUACUGGGCGUAAAGCGUGCGCAGGCGGCUUUGCAAGUCAGGGGUGAAAUCCCAGAGCUCAACUCUGGAAUUGCCUUUGAGACUGUGAGGCUUCGAGUACGGGAGAGGUGAGUGGAAUUCCCAGUGUAGAGGUGAAAUUCGUAGAUAUUGGGAAGAACACCGGUGGCGAAGGCGGCUCACUGGCCCGUUACUGACGCUCAGGCGCGACAGCGUGGGGAUCAAACAGG
rnacentral:rRNA from 1 species